ACGACGCUGGCGGCGUGGAUUAGGCAUGCAAGUCGAACGGUAUCAUCCUUCGGGGGUGAGAGAGUGGCGAACUGGUGAGUAACACGUAGGUUAUCUACCCUCAAGACGGGGACAACCCAGGGAAACUUGGGCUAAUACCGGAUGUGAGCAACUUUUAGUUGUUUGAAAGGUGGCGUAAGCUGUCGCUUGGGGAUGAGCCUGCGUCCUAUUAGUUAGUUGGUGAGGUAACGGCUCACCUAGGCAAUGAUAGGUAGGCGGCCUUAACGGGUGGUCGCCCACACUGGGAUUGAGAUACGGCCCAGACUCCUACGGGAGGCAGCAGUCGAGAAUAGUCUACAAUGGUCGGAAGACUGAUAGUGCGACGCCGCGUGAACGAUGAAUCCCUUCGGGGUGUAAAGUUCUUUUAUAUGUGAGCAGUGCUUCUUAUAUUAACAGUAUGGGGAGAGAGAUAUUAGCAUAUGAAUAAGCAACGGCUAACUCCGUG
rnacentral:rRNA from 1 species